UGUAGCAGGAGCCUGAUGGGUCAGAGCCCUGCAGUUCCGGGGGCUCGCUGAGUGUUUUCCCAAGUAGCAGAGAAGUCAUGACAAGCUUGUAAGCCAGGAGCAUCUGGAGGGGGCGGACCCAGGGUCAGAGGGAGUGAGGAGCCCUGGCGGUGGCUGAACUGCUUGAAGACACGCGAGAAGCGGAGACUUUCAAAAGGUUCACGUAUUUGCUGACUCAACAGACAUUGAUCGACCACAGCCAGGCCCUAUCGCAGCUGCUGGGACAUAACAGCUCAGCCAGGAAUCUCCAAAGCGGGAGGUGACCAGAGCUUCGACCAGGCAUAAACCAGGAAUGAAUCGCUCCCUGUGUUUAUGGGCUGCACCUCUCCUACCGUCGUGGUGUCUGGAAACAGUCCUGGAGAUCAGCCCUGGGUUUGGCCAACUCGCUACUGAAAAGCUCAUCGAGUGGUUUGCAGUUUGUCCUUUUCCUCCGCCCUGCAGCUGUCUUCAUUCCCCCUUGUUUCCAGGGCCUGGGGGGGGGGUGCGUGUGAU